UGAAGCCUGCCACGCUCACCUCUCAGCCCUCCACCUCCAGCCCAGCUCCUGCUCUGCGCGGAGCUGCUUUGGAGAACUUGCUGCUGGCGCCCAACAGCUGGGUAAAUUCUGCUUACAGUGGUUCCCAAAGAGGCCUGGAGGACAUCUGGGUCUUCCAUGGUGGUGGGGGUUUUGGCCUCAACAACAAGGCUCUGGUGGUAGAAAUGAUAGCAACCCAGUGAAAAGAGACGGACAAAAGAGUCAAAGGAGUCAGUGCAAAAGCACUGUCCAGGAAAGCGAAUCAACCCAGAUUGUCCCCUUGGGAAAUAUGGCAUGUGCUUGGGGUGACAGCUGAUUCUCCUCUUAAUCACUGUCAUGAAAACAAAAUAACCAUAAGAGCAAAGGCAGAUUAGACAAGGGAAAUUAAGGAACCCAAAUACUGACAGGAUGCAUUUUUGAAGAUAUAGCCGACUCCUGGGUCCUCGUGACAGCCUUCCCACACCAAUUCUCAGACCACCUUCUACCUGAACCUGCACGGUGGCAAAAUGGCCUCCACAAGAAGCAACCCAAUGGGGCUCUGUUCUCUCCUUGCCAAGACCAGGAAUAUAACGCAGUUGUGAUGGCCACAGGACUAGGAAAGACCAUGGAUAUAGGCAGCAAAGUCUAAGGAGAUUUUCUUAGACGGAAGUCUGAAACUAGCAUGGAGAAGAAAUGGUUAAGGAGAGAGAGAGAAAGAGAGCGAGCAAGAGAGAGCAGAGAUGGGACCUCCAAAGGCAGGAUGUAGCAAGGUUACCAGCAGCAGCCCUGUAAGCAACUCUGUUGUGAGGAAGCCCAGGUCACCUGGAAAAGUCCAUGUGGACAGGAACCCAGGAAACUCAGCUGACAGCCAGCACCAGCUGGCCCACUUGUAUGCAUGGACCCUCUUGGAAGUAGAUCCUUCAGCCUUCAGUAGAACCCCUCCAACUCAUUCGAUGUGGUACAAAGAUGAACCUUCCCUGCCGAGCCCUGCCCGAAUUGCAGCAAGUGCCUGUGCUUCAACCACCACUUAAUUUGUUAAUUCUGACUCUUAAUCCUGAGACUGUAGGUAGAGAAGAUAACAUACUCCUAUUUCACAGGUGAGAAUACACAAGCACAGAAAGUAUUUGUAAUUUGUUCAAGGUCACAGAACAAGCAAGUGGCAGAACUGGGUCACAAUCAGUUCCUCUGACUCCCUGGCUUGAGGUUUUACUCUAUUGUCAGAUUCUCUAUGUCUCCUGCAGGCCAUGUAUCCUUACCAAAUGUAGGGAUCACUGGUUUGGCCUUUGUGAGAGCAGGUGCUUAGAAAUCCUGUUGAACUUUCUUCCUUCGCUACCUACCCUGUACCAGAAACCCGCUGCACAACAUUGAUAAAACCAGUUCUGUUCUAGGCCCCCACUUGCUGCUGCCUGGAGAGGUGACCCCCAGGGCAUCCCCCCUUCAUGCCUUGACUGAAUAAAACUCCCUGCUGAAGUCUUCACAUGGCACACCGCAUGAACAUGUGGAACCCACUGGUUGCCAAGCCAAAUGUGGCUCCAGAUUAUUCUAGGAAACAAAUAAAUUGUUUUGCUCUGGAUUGAAGGAAUUGCUAAUUAGGGAUUUUUAUUUUGAGCAGUGUUCCUUGGAGCUGGCAGACAGAUGGAGUAGGCGAAUUGCUCCAGGGGCAUUGUUAAGCAGAGGGAACUGUUUCUGCCCCUGGUUAUGAGAACCUGCCAGAGCUCAUUGCUGCCCAGCUCUUGCCCUCAAGGACAAGGGAGGCUUCCUGGCUCACAGUGAUUUCCUCUUUUCUGGGACUGGCCCUCAAAGCACAAGCACAAGACCCUAGUGGUGUUGUCAGUUGUAUAUUACCCUGCCUGCUAGCCAUAUAAUUGUCCUAGGGAGAAGAGCAGAGGUCUUUUCUAGGAUUCCCUACCUGGAACUGGGAAUGAAA